rnacentral:rRNA from 1 species
UACGAAGGGGGCUAGCGUUGCUCGGAAUCACUGGGCGUAGAGCGCACGUAGGCGGCUUCUUAAGUCAGGGGUGAAAUCCUGGAGCUCAACUCCAGAACUGCCUUUGAUACUGAGGAGCUCGAGUCCGGAAGAGGUGAGUGGAACUGCGAGUGUAGAGGUGAAAUUCGUAGAUAUUCGCAAGAACACCAGUGGCGAAGGCGGCUCACUGGUCCGGUACUGACGCUGAGGUGCGAAAGCGUGGGGAGCAAACAGG